UUUUUCUCUUAAGUGCUACUUCAGUUGCCUCCUUGUUUUGGCCUGUCCCUUGUCCCUGCAGCCCUCUGAGACCUGCCCUGGUUGGUGCGUGGGGCAGCAGGCUUGUGCCCAGUGGCUGUGAGAAGUAGUGCCUGCUGGUUUCUGUGUGUGGAGAGCAGUGCGUGCCCCCUGCCCUCAUCCAAGUUGAAGACCUGGAGGAGAGAGCCAGCAGUUCGAAGUAUUCAUGUCCUCCAGAGCAAUCUGAAAUAGCUGCUUUUCCUACCUUGAUCAGAAGGAGCUGACAGCAUGGAUGGACAGAAGAGGAUCAUAUUCAAGAAAGAUAUGCCAUGAUCUUAGCUUGGACUUGUGGCUCAUCUGGCUCACACUUGAGAAGUUCCAAUAUCAGAUGUGGAAUACUUGCUGAAAUUGGUACAGAACCUUGCAGCUUUCACAGGUGAGAAGUCCAUAAUGGUACCCAGACACUUUGUCUCCACAGACUGGACACAGUUCCUCAAGGUCUUCAUCAUAAGAGUAAUUCACCAUUUUAAACUGAGACACUGGGAAAAGGAGAAAUAGCACAUUCAAUUAGAGUUAUGUGAAUAGCUCGCUUUUUCUGCAACUAUUCUCGUCUAGAGGGAAAGUCCUCUUUAAGCACGCCACGGCGAACUGCAAGAAGUUUUAUUUUUAAAAGUGGAGCUUGUACAGGAACGCGUAACUUUUCCCCAACUGCAAACCCGCGUGAUACUUGGCAGGUGGGACACAACCCCACCAGCUCCUUGCCUUCCUCCUCUAAAUAUUAACAUUUCCACAGCGCCCGCGACCCAGCGCCUAGUUUGCGGCAUCUCCAACUAUCUGAAUUCAUCCAAAUCCGAAAGUAACCGAGGACGGGCUUUAAAAAGGCGGGACGAAAAGCUGGAAGUGCCGCCGGAGGCCAGUAACCGCGUUCGUUUCCUUUCAAGUUUUCUUUCAGCGCCAGCCCGCAAAUAUUUGCUGAGCCCGAGCGCGACCCGCAGCCCCGCCGGGUACCCACUCGCCCAAGCGGCGAGCUCGGGGCGAGCUGGGCUGGGGGCGGCUCGCCCCUGGGGCUCCGGGGGCGGCCGGUGGGGUCCUGCUGGGCAAGGGCGGCGGCGGCGGCGGGCUCCUGAGGAAGGCGAGCGGCACCCCCGGGCUGCCGCCUCCGGCACGCCGCGGCUCAGGGCAGGGGAGCGGCCGCAGUCCGGCCCGACCCGCCGCCUGCCAGAGCCCGGGGAGGACUCGGAGGAGGAGGGCCCGGCCCGGUCCCCCCCCCCCCCGCUCCCGGGCGCUGGGAGCGAGUUCCCCUCCUCGCAGGAAAACCCGAGUGGGAAGGCAGGGGCUUUCCGAGCGCCGCGCCCUGGCACCGAGCCUCCUCCGCGGGCGAGGGGAGGGGAGGGCUGGGCGGGCUGGGCUGGGCUGGCCGCCCCCAGCACCUCCGCGGCCCCCGGCCCACCCCGCCCCGGCUUCCCAGCAGGUCCCGGGAGGAGAGGGCAGAAUUUCGAAAGAGCGGCCGGGACCGGAGUUUCCACCGCGGGGGUGGGCGGAGCGGGCAGGGUCCGAGCACCGAGCAGCCACCCCCCCGGGGCAGCCCUCGGACGGGGGCUCCGCUGCCCCCCGGUGGCAUUCCCAGCCCGGGCAUCCCGCUGCCAUCCCGAAGCUUCGCACCGCCGCCACCUGCGCUGCGCCCGGGGGGCAGCCCGGUGCCUGUCGGGGCCCCGGGGGCGGCUCACGGGGUGUCCUCUGCACGAUCCCCCCGCAGCUCCGUCGCCGCCAACUUGGCGAGAGUUUUUGGGGCGGCCCGGGGCUGAGCCCCCCCCCCUCGCCGGGCGUACGCGAGCACGGCCGGUGUCCCGGGGAAGGCACCCCCCGGCUACCGCCAGGAGCCGGCGGCCCUAAACUUUUUGGCAGGACGAAGGGGCGCCCCGCCGGAGGGGUAGGAGCCGAGCGUGCGCGGAGGGGGAGCGCC